UUAAUUGAAACCAAAGGGAGGAGAGGUAUGUUACUGUUAAUAACACCAAUGGGAAGCAAUUCCCCAAUUAAA
rnacentral:tRNA from 1 species